CAACCCUCAGCGCAAGCUGGUUAUGAGUUGGCUGAACACUUCUGUUUACAGAGGUCGAAGUCCGGCUUUAAAGUUGUAUGCUCUGCUGGCUGCUUUGCCUGACAAAACAUAGUAAAUCUUACAUUGUUUACAGAAUGGCUUUGCGAGUCCGGCCUGAAUAAAAUCAACCCUUUCUUAG
rnacentral:misc_RNA from 1 species